rnacentral:rRNA from 1 species
AUUGAACGCUGGCGGCAUGCCUUACACAUGCAAGUCGAACGGCAGCACGGGAGCAAUCCUGGUGGCGAGUGGCGAACGGGUGAGUAAUAUAUCGGAACGUGCCCAGUCGUGGGGAUAACGUAGCGAAAGCUACGCUAAUACCGCAUACGAUCUAUGGAUGAAAGCGGGGGAUCGCAAGACCUCGCGCGAUUGGAGCGGCCGAUAUCAGAUUAGGUAGUUGGUGAGGUAAAGGCUCACCAAGCCGACGAUCUGUAGCUGGUCUGAGAGGACGACCAGCCACACUGGGACUGAGACACGGCCCAGACUCCUACGGGAGGCAGCAGUGGGGAAUUUUUGGACAAUGGGCGAAGCCUGAUCCAGCAAUGCCGCGUGCAGGAAGAAGGCCUCGG